rnacentral:rRNA from 1 species
UACGUAGGGUGCGAGCGUUAAUCGGAAUUACUGGGCGUAAAGCGUGCGCAGGCGGUUUUGUAAGCCAGAUGUGAAAUCCCCGGGCUUAACCUGGGAAUGGCAUUUGGGACUGCAAGGCUGGAGUGCGGCAGAGGAGACUGGAAUUCCUGGUGUAGCAGUGAAAUGCGUAGAUAUCAGGAGGAACACCGAUGGCGAAGGCAGGUCUCUGGGCUGACACUGACGCUCAUGCACGAAAGCGUGGGGAGCAAACGAGG